UACGUAGGGGGCAAGCGUUGUCCGGAUUUAUUGGGCGUAAAGAGCGUGUAGGCGGCCAGACAGGUCCGUUGUGAAAACUCGAGGCUCAACCUCGAGAUGUCGAUGGAAACCGUCUGGCUAGAGUCCGGAAGAGGAGUGUGGAAUUCCUGGUGUAGCGGUGAAAUGCGCAGAUAUCAGGAAGAACACCUAUGGCGAAGGCAGCUCGCUGGGACGUUACUGACGCUGAGACGCGAAAGCGUGGGGAGCAAACCGG
rnacentral:rRNA from 1 species